AGCCCCAGAAGCUGGAAGAGACAGGAACAACCCUCCCAGAGCCUUUGAAGGGAGCAUGGCCCUGCUGAUACCUUGAUUUCAGCCCAGAGAAAGUGAUUUGGGACUCUGGCCUCCAGAACAGUGACACGGCGACUUUCCACCAAGAACACCAUUGUGUAGAGGCACCUACUGUGCCAGGCACUGUUGGAGGCACUGGGGAUGAAUCAGCAAGCAAGACAGAAGGUCCCUGCACUCACAUAACUUACUGCUCAGGUAUUAUUUUCAGUGCUUUCUUUGUGUUAUCAUGAAGCUGUUACAACAACGCAGUGUUGGUGCCCCCAUUUUACAAAUAGGAAAACUGAGGCUCACAGAAGUGAAAUAACGUUAUUGAAGGUCACACAGCUCAGAAGAGCCCGGUUGAUUUUUAACCCCAAUCCAACUCUGAAGGCUGCCUUCUGCUUUAGAGCAGACCACUGACCACCACUAUGCUGGCAAAAAAAUAAAGAAAAAUGUGAGAAGAGUUCAUUCUGUGAUGCCAGGAAAAAAGUACUGCAAGGGUCUUCACGCCUUAAAUCAAAUUCAUACUCUUGCUUUCCUCUGUGCAGUUCUUAUGAUCUGCCUUAAUCUCUGGAAAAUGAAUCCUGCUCCGACAUCAAAGCAGCAGGGUGCGUUUAGUUCUUCUGAUUGAUAACAGCUUUGGGAGAAUCAGUACAAGGUCUGAUUAGAUGGGACGUUUUUCUUCUCACUUUUGCCCGCCAAGGAGACUGUGGGCUGACCUCAUUUUGAAAUGACAAUCCUCUCCUCCAAGAAGCAGGGACAAAAUGAACAACAGGCUCCUCACCCAGGCUGGGGUGGAAUUUCCAGCCUCCAGAGCCCCUGGGCAGGACUAAGCCCCAGGGCAGGACUAAGCCCAUCAGGGCCCAGGUCCCUGAUGAAACACACCCUUUACCAGACACCUUCCCUUUCUGCCUCACUUCCCACCACCUCCCCUUUUGUCCUGGGAUCACUUCCCACAUAAGCUACUUGAAUGGGAAUUCUAGUCUCAGGAAUCGCCACUGGACUCAGCCUGCACAGCACAGCAAGACCCUGGCUCUUAAGAAAAAAAAAGAAUGAUGGGGAUGCAUCCCAGGACAAACAGCAGUUUUGGAGGUGGGCCCUGGGCAUGGGUUUUUGUGCACAGCUCCCUCAGCAAUGCUGAUGGGGAUCCAGGGCUGAGACCCACAGAACUGGGGGAUGAACUUCAACCUCACAUUCACCACCUUCCAAACCACCCUCAGGGAAGACUCACCCGAUGUCUGGUGAGCAUGUUUCCCUUCAGACACUGAUAGCGAACCAUGAGGAAGAGGGCAGCCCAGGUCAGCACAAGGGAGAGGAGGAAGGCAAUGAAGAACCCUGCUGCGUGGAGGCCGUGGUGCGGCAGAACCUGUGGAGACAAGAGGAGAGCAGGAUUCAUGUGUGGUCAGACAGCAUGUCUCCCAGGCCUCACAGAUGAUUGAGUGUCAGAGCAGACCAAGCAGGGACCAGGGGACUCGCUUGCAUUUGAGUCUCGCUCUGCCAGCUACCAGCUGGCUGCCUGGAGGCCCUCGCUGGUCCUCUCUGAGCCUGAACUUCCUCAGUGCAUGACAAGCCUGUCAAAGACCUGAGGCAUGGUGAUUUGCACACAAUAGCACCAUCCAGCCGCACGCCUAGCACAUCACAGACACUCAAGAAUGUUAAGUUUCCAAAUCAAAAACAUGAUAAUCCAAAGGAAGCACUAGGGAUCCGUGACAUUUUCUGAGAAUCACAGGUAGAAUUUUGCAGAGGCCAGAGGAAGAACCCAUGGCACCCUCACCUUCCCGCUACCCUCUAUUAACUUUAGAUUAAAUAAUUAAACCCCAAUUUUUACGGUAUUAUAUUUAGAGAAAAUCUCUUGUCUUCUGACUGGUGAGAUUAGUGGGCCACAUUUACCCCCGCCCCUCCUUCCCUGCUUCUGCCUUCUAGCAUUUUUUAGGUUUAUAGCAUAUAUAUUUUGUUCUGCAACCAGAAUUCAAUCCUGAUUAUUGUUUAUAGGUUAAUCCCAGCAACUACAAAUUUUAAAAGACAAUAUUAUUAUGAUUAGGCAAAAUUUGCUCACUGCAGAGUAAAGUAAUUGGAUCCAAUCCUGUGACACUAAAUAUCUGCUCCUCAAAGGAGUGUGUUCCUAAUUCAGUCCCUUUUCUCACACUUUAUCAAUUAUUCCAAAUCAGGCUACAUUUUUAGUUUGCUUCAGUGUGAAUUAGCACUUCCUUGUGUGACUUUUUGUUUUUCCUGAAGUUUUUCAUGGCCUAUCUUUUUUCUUCCUAGCAUACACCCAUGUUCUUAAUAAUACUAUCUGUUACAGAGAGUCAAAUUUACUUUUUCUUAAAGUCAUCAUUCCCAGAGUUCUCUGACUUUCUGAUUUAAUCAGACCUGGCUACUUUCUAGGUUUUCUGGUAUCAUAGAGAGCUUUUUCUUUUUCUCCACUGCCUUCUAUAUUGUCACAGCAUUACUCAUUGAAGAAAAACUGUUUCUUGGAUCCCAUUUCUUCCUUUUUCUUGGAUAAUUCUUUUUUAUUUUGAUGAAGUAUCCUAAGUAUCUAUUUAUUCUCAAGUAAGUUCGUUUGGAGAAGAUGCUCUUUUCUCACAUCUGGCAAUGCUGUCACUUAGUUCUCAGUUUGACUGAUAGUAUGGCUGGCUACAUAAUUCAUGGCUAAAAUAACUUUCCCUCAAGAUGUUGAUGGUGCCAUUCUACUGUCUUCUGACAGAAGUGUGCCUGAUGGCCUUUUAGAAGAAUCUGUUUUUGUUUUCUGGGUGCUUUUUAAGAUUUCUCCCUUUUCCCUAUAGUUCUGAAUAUCUUAGCAUUUUAAAGAAGAUAUUUGAAUACAUUUCUAAUAAUAUAUAAAAAGUCUUAUAUAGUAAUGUAACUUUGCAAAGAAAUACACACAGUAUAAUCUCCAUUUCACUAAAAUAAAAAUAAUGUGCAUAUAUACAUAUGCAUGUGUAAAUUAUAAAGAA
rnacentral:lncRNA from 10 species